AUUGAACGCUGGCGGCAGGCUUAACACAUGCAAGUCGAGCGGAGAUGAGGUGCUCGCACCUUAUCUUAGCGGCGGACGGGUGAGUAAUGCUUAGGAAUCUGCCUAUUAGUGGGGGACAACAUUCCGACAGGAAUGCUAAGACCGCAUACGCCCUACGGGGGAAAGCAGGGGAUCUUCGUACCUUGCGCUAAUAGAUGAGCCUAAGUCGGAUUAGCUAGUUGGUGGGGUACAGGCCUAACAAGGCGACGAUCUGUAGCGGGUCUGAGAGGAGGAUCCGCCACACUGGGAGUGAGACACGGCCCAGAAUCCUACGGGAGGCAGCAGUGGGGAAUAUUGGACAAUGGGCGGAAGACUGAUCCAGCCAUGCCGCGUGUGUGAAGAAGGCCUUUUGGUUGUAAAGCACUUUAAGCGAGGAGGAGGCUACCUGGAUUAAUACUCUAGGAUAGUGGACGUUACUCGCAGAAUAAGCACCGGCUAACUCUGUGCCAGCCGCCGCCGUAAAAC
rnacentral:rRNA from 1 species